rnacentral:rRNA from 1 species
UACGUAGGGUGCGAGCGUUAAUCGGAAUUACUGGGCGUAAAGUGUGCGCAGGCGGCCGCGCAAGUCGAGUGUGAAAGCCCCGGGCUUAACUUGGGAAUUGCGCUCGAAACUACGUGGCUGGAGUGUGGCAGAGGAAGGUGGAAUUCCAGGUGUAGCGGUGAAAUGCGUAGAGAUCUGGAAGGAACACCGAUGGCGAAGGCAGCCUUCUGGGCCAAGCA